rnacentral:misc_RNA from 1 species
CAACCCUCAAGCACCGCUUGGUUUUGGGGCCCCACGGCACACGUGGGCCCUUAAAGGUAGUGGCGGACCCUCCCGGAGCCUCCUUUGCGUAGUAACUAACGUCUCGCACUGGGAUCCGGAGGGACUCUUGCCGUAAAACCCCCCAAUUUUUUACA